rnacentral:lncRNA from 1 species
AAAAUUUAAGUGAAAUCGUAUUUUGAAUGUGAUUUUAAAAGCCAUCAAAUGAGUGGGAAUGCCAUAUCUCAGUACUUCUAUGGUGCUUUCCAUUAUUUGUCUAUAGUAAUAAUCUUUCAAAGCUGGCAUCUACUUCAUUGUUUUUCAUACAUCUACAGAUCCACUGCAUUGUUGUAUAUCAAUUCCAAACUGCAUGCGGAAGUCCCAUUUUUAGUGGUGUAACACUAUUUUAGUGUAAUUUAAUUGCUCCUUUUAGUUAUUUGAAAAUAUAUCUUAUAAGCACUUGCGAUAAUUUCAUGAUGAGAAAUUAACUCUUUCAGUUGUCAAUGCCCUCAAUUUCAUUUUGAGAAGCUACAAAUUAGAGAUACUAAGGAACUAUAAGGAACAUAGGAUUCAUGUUAAAUACACCAAAUCCUUAUCUUAAUCCCAAUAAGCUUUAUGACCCAGUCAGCAAACCAACCCAGAUUCCUUCCAAAUCCAAAUCUCUGACCCAGCCAGGAACCCGAUUCAACAAGUCAACUGUGUUUUCUCCAAUAGACAGCAACAGUGUACGCAUAUGAACAAACAUAUUUCUCAAAAUUAGUCCUGUGCACAAGACUGAAUUGAUUCCAACAUCCAGU